CGCACUCGCCCGCUCCUCCUGGCUCUCUGGCCGGGCUUGUGAGGGGCUUGGGCGGGAACCCUGAGGCACAGGCUUUCUGUGACCUCCAAAGCGAGAUCUUUGACGACCCCUACAUAUCCGCCGCGACCUAGAAACCUUUCCUCUCUCUUCUUGCUGGCCCCCCCCCCAGGACAGUGUCAGGAACAGCUAGCGAGGAUACUGGGAACCUUCUCAGGGCCAGUUCCUGUGAGCUUCACCGGGGAAGCUCCCGGGAACCCGCCAGCCGGAUGUGCCAGACCGCGCCCCGCAGCCCCCGCCGCCCAGCAGAGGCGACGGCGACGUCGCCGAGCUGUGGGUGUCACCAGCCUGCAAUGUGAAGACAGUGGCUGGAGCUGCAGCAGCCAUUAUGGACCAGGAAGUAACUCUCAAGACGGCAGCUACAUGUGGGAUGUUGGCCCCAGAAGAUUAGGGGUCUAGAACAAGUUUUACAGGUGUCGGACUAGUCUGUUCGAUGAUGUGACCCCAGCUCCUAUAACAGUAUCUGGUGCUGGUAGAGCAUAAGGGCUCCACCACUGUGGAAGAAAAGGGGAGGCAGGAAUCACCUGCUGCUGUUCGUGAGAGAGAUGGAGUCGGAAGAGAUCACACUGGGAAAGGAAGCUGAGAGGCUGGGGGCUGAACUCUAGGGGUCAAUACCACCCUCCCACACCCCACCCCUCACCCCCCAACUACCUGCCUGUGCUACUGAUUAAAUUCAGGAAUCCACCAUCUACUGUAAUGAAGCUCCUGAAAUGGAUCCGUCUCCCUGGUAACAUAUCUUGUAUCUACUUCUUCUGGGUUCCAGAAGAGGACAGCAUGCCAAAGAGCAUGAACAUGCACAAACUCAGGAAAUGACAGACCCACUGCAGGAGGCUUGCAGCGCCCACCCCUCCCACAUCCUCCAUGUGUACCUCACCACAUCCCUCAUAGCACCGACUGAGGCGUUGAAGAGGCUUUCCUGUUCCGGUUCUACAGGCAGAAAGCAAACAACAGCCGCAACAUGGCGUCUGGAUCACAGGGUGGGGUGACCCCGACUCUAUCUGCUCCUCAGGGGAAACUGCCCAAGUUCACUGUGGAUUCUCUCACUGAGCUAUUAGCAUGGCUUGACUGAGUACAGACCACACUGCGUUUGCUGGACAGUUUCCCUUUUGAAAUCUUCUCUCUCUCU